rnacentral:rRNA from 1 species
GAAUUUUGGGCAAUGGGCGAAAGCCUGACCCAGCAACGCCGCGUGAAGGAUGAAGUAUUUCGGUAUGUAAACUUCGAAAGAAUGGGAAGAAUAAAUGACGGUACCAUUUAUAAGCUCCGGCUAACUACGUGCCAGCAGCCGCGGUAAUACGUAGGGAGCAAGCGUUGUUCGGAUUUACUGGGCGUAAAGGGCGCGUAGGCGGCGUGUUAAGUCAGCUGCGAAAUCUCCAAGCUUAACUUGGAACGGCCAGCUGAUACUGACGUGCUAGAGUGCAGAAAGGGCAAUCGGAAUUCUUGGUGUAGCGGUGAAAUGCGUAGAUAUCAAGAGGAACACCUGAGGCGAAGGCGGGUUGCUAGGCUGACACUGACGCUGAGGCGCGAAAGCCAGGGGAGCAAACGGG